GACGAACGCUGGCGGCGUGCUUAACACAUGCAAGUCGAACGAAGAGCGAUGGAAGCUUGCUUCUAUCAAUCUUAGUGGCGAACGGGUGAGUAACGCGUAAUCAACCUGCCCUUCAGAGGGGGACAACAGUUGGAAACGACUGCUAAUACCGCAUACGAUCUAAUCUCGGCAUCGAGGAUAGAUGAAAGGUGGCCUCUACAUGUAAGCUAUCACUGAAGGAGGGGAUUGCGUCUGAUUAGCUAGUUGGAGGGGUAACGGCCCACCAAGGCGAUGAUCAGUAGCCGGUCGGAGAGGAUGAGCGGCCACGUUGGGACUGAGACACGGCCCAGACUACUACGGGAGGCAGCAGUGGGGAAUCUUCCGCAAUGGACGAAAGUCUGACGGAGCAACGCCGCGUGAGUGAUGACGGCCUUCGGGUUGUAAAGCUCUGUUAAUCGGGACGAAAGGCCUUCUUGCGAAUAGUGAGAAGGAUUGACGGUACCGGAAUAGAAAGCCACGGCUAACUACGUG
rnacentral:rRNA from 1 species